rnacentral:rRNA from 1 species
CACUAUCAUUUGUACGUUAGCGACAGAAGAAGACACCGGCUAACUCCGUGCCAGCAGCCGCGGUAAUACGGAGGGUGCGAGCGUUAAUACGGAAUUACGUGGGACGUAAAGACGCAUGCAGGUGGUUUGUUUAAGUCAGAUGUAGAAGGACCCGGGCGUCAACCUACGGAAUAGCAUUUAUAAACGUAGGCAGACUAGAGUACUGUAGGAGGGGGGUAGGAAUUUCAGGUGUAGCGGUGAAAUGCGUAGAGAUCUGAAGGAAUACCGGUGGCGAAGGCGGCCCCCUCGGACAGAUACUGACACUCAGAUGCGAAAGCGUGGGGAGCAAACAGGAUUAGAUACCCUGGUAG